GGACAGAUGGCCGAGAUGGUUAUGGCGCCAGGUUAAGGUUAUACCUUGAUACAACAUGUGAUGUUUAUUCAUAUAGUUUCCUGGUCACGAAAGUGGCGUGGGUUCGAGUCCCACUCUGUUCA
rnacentral:tRNA from 1 species